rnacentral:rRNA from 1 species
ACGGGGCCCGCACAAGCGGCGGAGCAUGCGGAUUAAUUCGAUGCAACGCGAAGAACCUUACCAAGGCUUGACAUACACCGGUAACGCCCAGAGAUGGGUGCCCCUUUGUGGUCGGUGUACAGGUGGUGCAUGGUUGUCGUCAGCUCGUGUCGUGAGAUGUUGGGUUAAGUCCCGCAACGAGCGCAACCCUCGUCCUAUGUUGCCAGCGGGUCAUGCCGGGGACUCAUGGGAGACUGCCGGGGUCAACUCGGAGGAAGUGGGGAUGACGUCAAAUCAUCAUGCCCCUUAUGUCUUGGGCUUCACGCAUGCUACAAUGGCCGGUACAAAGGGCUGCGAUACCGCGAGGUGGAGCGAAUCCCAGAAAGCCGGUCUCAGUUCGGAUUGGGGUCUGCAACUCGACCCCAUGAAGUCGGAGUCGCUAGUAAUCGCAGAUCAGCAACGCUGCGGUGAAUACGUUCCCGGGCCUU